AUUCAUUCCUCUUUAUAGUUUAACUUUGUUAGGUGGAACCAUAUGAAAUUUCCAUCUCUGCAGGUCACAAAGACCAAAUAUCCGAAAUUUCAUAUGGCCAACCUAUAGUUGAAAAUAUGUCAGUGCUUUCUAUAUAUUUUGUGUUUUGCUUGGAUUAUUGUGCAUUAUUUUGUUUUGUUUUUGUUUUCCAGCAAUUGGGAGCAGUAGUUUCAGCCCACGACCAACUCACCAGUUCUCUCCACCACAGAUUUACCCUUCCAACAGACCAUACCCACAUAUUCUCCCUACCCCUUCCUCACAAACUAUGGCUGCAUAUGGGCAAACACAGUUUACCACAGGAAUGCAACAAGCUACAGCCUAUGCCACGUACCCACAGCCAGGACAGCCGUACGGCAUUUCCUCAUAUGGUGCAUUGUGGGCAGGCAUCAAGACUGAAGG
rnacentral:sRNA from 1 species